UUUCCCGACGGUCAAUGGCAUGUGCUGCUGUGGCUGUUGGGUUCCGGCAGCCACCUGGCUAAACUCCACACACUCAGAAGAGCGUGGCUCUGGCACAGAAAACCCAGGCUGCUGUUUGCGGUCUGUGCUCAGCACGUGGACGAUCAGGUCCCGCUUCCCCCACCCAGACUGCACAGCUGAUUCCUCUCACUGACUGGAUGGAAUCUUGAGGUCACCGGCCCUCCCCUUCUGACUCUUUGCAGGCCCAGAACUCAAUCUCAACAGGCUGCCUUAGUGCCUGUCACUCAGCUUAUUUGCAGGCGUGCUGAAGAGUUUUGUGAGCAGGCCAUCAGUCCAGGCUUCCUGUAAGCCACCUGACACCAAGGAAGAGAAACAGUUCCCGCAUGCAUUUUGCAACCAGAAGACUCUCCUACCGAUGCAUCUAUCAUCCUUUCAGAAGUGUAGAAAUAAAACCGGUUACAAUCUUAA